AAGUUAGUACAUGUGACUUCCAAUCACCUAGCCUUGGUUAAAAUCCAAGGAAAGAUA
rnacentral:tRNA from 1 species